rnacentral:antisense_RNA from 1 species
CUGAAUAGCUGAGAGGCGCACCUGGGCGGCCAGCUGGGCUCGGAGUGCAGCGGGGUCAGGAUGGACGAGGACGUGUUGCACCCUGAAGAGCCUCAUCAUCGCCUGCUCUUGAGGUUCACAGAUGAUACCUUUGAUCCAGAACUUGCAGCAACAAUAGAUCCAUCUUCGGUUGUGAAUCCGGCCUGGGAUGCAGCCACCCCUCAGAGCAACCCCCCCUGCUGCUUGUGCCCUGCUGUGCUACUGCCUCAGUCACUUCCUGUUUGGUCAAGACCACAGCUGCUGAUGUCGCAGCUGAGGCACAUCAAAAAGGCUGCCUGAUUCAAAGAAAGCUGCCAGAUAAAUCACAGAGCACAGACACUUCUACCUCAUGCUCUUGUGGGACUUUAGGAACCAAACAUAAGCACCUAUGGAAAAUGCACUGCGGUCUUGAAAGGCUGUGGUCUUUAUCAGAAAAUAUCUGAAUGACUGCCUCUUAUGUCAGUCCUACUCUGCAGGCUUGCUAAGAUGAUGAUUGAAAGGGCUCUUGGCUUCUGCUUUAGAAUCUGGCAUUUAUGUUUUGAAGCGUUGUGAGCAAGCGACGCAGCAGAUUGCAGGGUGAGGGGGACGGACCUGGGCCAGGAGCCAGGGGUUUCUCUACCCCCUUCCCUGACUUACAGCUGGAACUGGGCUCAGUGCUUUCAGCCUCAUUUGCUAAGAAGGGUUGGGUGUGUAAUCCUGGCUGCAUCUUAAAAUCCCUGGGAGCUUUUAAGACAUAUUGACACAUAAGCUGUAACUCACAUGAAUCGAAAACACAUCUCUGGGGCUGGGCUGAGCAAAUGCCUUUUUUUAAAGGCCCCUCAGGUGAUUCUGCCUCAGAGAUGUUGAAAACCAGUAGGUUAGGAGCUCAGUCAUCUACUUUCAGAUCUGUGAUUAUGCCACUAUUAAAUACAGUUGGCCAUUACAUAGAUUUUAUGCUUUAGCUUGUUCUUUUUUCCUCUGCUAUACCAAAUAAAAUCUUUGAGCUGUAGUUCCAGUCCUUAAAACAACGGUUGUUACCAUACUGAGAUUAAACAUUAGUGCAUUUGCUUAAAAAGGACGUUAAAACUUAUCACACUGCCAUAAUUUUUAAUGGUUUCUAUAAUGAUUAAUUAAUAAGAAAAUCAAUAAUUGGAUUUUAAAGCAGGAAACUAGGCAGGAAGGUUGAAAUUCAUAGACCAGUUCAAUGGAAAACAUUAAAAUGUAGUUGUGUGAUGCCCAAUAUUCUA